CCUACGGGAGGCAGCAGUGGGGAAUAUUGGACAAUGGGCGCAAGCCUGAUCCAGCCAUGCCGCGUGAGUGAUGAAGGCCCUAGGGUUGUAAAGCUCUUUCAGUGGGGACGAUAAUGACGGUACCCACAGAAGAAGCCCCGGCUAACUUCGUGCCAGCAGCCGCGGUAAUACGAAGGGGGCUAGCGUUGUUCGGAAUUACUGGGCGUAAAGCGCACGUAGGCGGAUAUUUAAGUCAGGGGUGAAAUCCCGGGGCUCAACCCCGGAACUGCCUUUGAUACUGGGUAUCUUGAGUUCGGAAGAGGUAAGUGGAAUUGCGAGUGUAGAGGUGAAAUUCGUAGAUAUUCGCAGGAACACCAGUGGCGAAGGCGGCUUACUGGUCCGAUACUGACGCUGAGGUGCGAAAGCGUGGGGAGCAAACAGGAUUAGAUACCCGUGUAGUC
rnacentral:rRNA from 1 species